GACGAACGCUGGCGGCGUGCCUAAUACAUGCAAGUCGAACGAACAGACCCUGCUUUUGCUGCUCUCACGUUAGCAGCGGGCGGGUGAGUCACACGUGGAUAACCCCCCUCUAUGACUUAGAUCACUUCGGGAAGCUGGAACUAAUAACAGAUAAUAUCUUGAACCGCAUUGUUCGAUAGUUAAAGUCGGUUUUGCUGUCAGUUCUCGAUGUAUCCGCGCCGCAUUAGCUAGUUGGUCAGGUAACGGCUUACCUAGGCAACGAUGCGUAGCCGACCUGAGCGGGUGAUCGGCCACACUGGAACUGAGACACGGUCCAGACUCCUACGGGAGGCAGCAGUAGGCAAGCGUCCGCAGUGGGGGAAAGCCUGACGGAGCAGCGCGGCGUGAGUGACGAAGGUCCUCGGAUCGUGAAACCCUGUUAUUAGGGAAGAACAAAUGGGUAAGUAAAUAUGCACGUCUUGACGGUACCGAAUCAGAAAGCCACGGCUAACUACGUG
rnacentral:rRNA from 1 species